rnacentral:lncRNA from 1 species
UCAUUCAACUAUAUUUUAAACGUUUAAGGUUUUAAAUGACAUUAAAUAUGUAAUCAAAGCGCACUCGGAUCAAUGGAAUUUCGCAAUCUGUUUAACUCAAUAAAUAAUUGUUUAUAUAGAAUGGAGUAUAUUAUAUAUUUUAGUAAAUUUUUUUCUCCAUAAAUAACGAAAAUAAAAAAUGUUCUUUUGCUUUAAAAUUAUUAAAAAAAAAAAAAAAACAAUUAUGUAACUUGAUUAAAAAUUGAAAAGUAUUUUAUGAAUUCGUCUCGGUGUGUUUACUGCAGUAGGUGAACUAAAAAAACCUUAAUAUAGCGAAAUACGAUAGAUUUGUGCUUUUCUAUACUAUUCACUUAGAAAUUAUAGCAAUAAAACUACACAAAAGUCCCGUAUUACCCUUUGUAUCUCCACGGAAAUCAUAAUAUUUAAAUGUGAUUUUUUUUUUCUGUGAAUUUUCUACUAAAGCUCGGAUUUUAGAGUGUAGCACCUUUUCUGAAAGGAAAUCGGACUGGGCAGGUACUUAAGGGGUCAGAAGGUCAUUUUUCUAUUUCCCCAAGAUUUUCCCAGUAAAAACGAAAAACCGGAAAAAAAAAGUGUAGCUUAAUGUAAUAGUUUUAGAUUCUUUGAGUAGAGCGAAUAAGCUUAUGGUUUUACGAAGUUGUUAAUUUUUCUUUCUGUGAACAACUAUUCUAUCAGAAAUUUUAUUCUGAUUUAUAAUAAAAGAACUUUUUCGGAAAGGAAAUUUGAUUGGGGAAGCAUUUAGAAGUGGUCAUUUUUUGAUUUUCUCAAGAGUUUUUUCAAUAUAUUCGAAAAACAGGGAAAAAUGGGAGAACGGGAAAAUAGGUACAACAUUAAACAAAUAUUAUUAAAGAAAAUAUUUAUUGCAUAUGCAAUUAUUUUACCAUAAUAUGACAUAUAGUAUAUUGUUGACCAAGUAACACUAUCAAUUGAACUCUGCUCAGAAUCGUUUUUUUCGUUAGCAAUGGUUUAUCGUCGCGUACAGAUAUACAUUAAAUGUCCCCUUUAUCUUCCAAACUUUUUGCCUACAAUAGUGGCCCACCCACAAGCGAAGUUUGUUCUUUUUUUUUUAUACUGCCUUAAAAAAUUGGUCAAAUAAUUGCUGUCUUAGAAUUUGAAACAUGAAAUGUAGAAACAAAUAUUUCAAAUAAUAUUUUUAAAAUUUUAAAAUUGCUGUAAAAAAAUAGGUUUGAAAUGAUACCCCAGCACUUAUUUUCAAUUAGAAUUGUCUUAUUUAAAACACUGGAGAAAAAAAACCACAUUUAAAUUUUGAAUGCAUUGAUUUGCUAUGGAAAUAUUAUAAGGAUAUGAGAUUUUUGCGAAUUGUUGUAAAAUAGUAUUAUAGAGUUAAUUAAAUUUUCUAUCUUUACUAUACACACCUUUUCACCCGAUGAAAUGUAUGUCAGCAUAAUAAUGUAGGUAAGUAAACUCAAAACCUUAAUAAUUUAAACGAGUACUGCUCAUUUUACGAGUGUUAUAUUUAUUAUUUUAUCGAAUAAAUUUUCGUUCUGAAAUAAAUCUGCAGAUUUUUUAUGAUUAUUGAUUUUCGACCUUUAUAUUAUAUAAUUUUUUCUGACGGUUUUGAUUUGUAAACCAAACUAGAAAUAUACAACGAGCUACAACUUACCAACACACAUUUAGUUGACUGUACACUGUAAAAUAUACUGCAAUGGAUAUUAUUCUCUGAUUAACUAAAUAAGGUUAAAUGACGUUAGUAUCAGACAGAGGCGGGGGAAUAGAAUUGUUGAUUUAUUGAUCCUUAUAAUGUUCGUACCAUUAUCUGUAAACGAGAAAAUUGCGAACAUUUUACAGUACGUUCAUCUCAACCGAAGUUCUUAGGGCGUACAGUGGGAGGAAAUCGAAAAAAAAUAAAAUUAUUAUUGUCAAAAUGUUGAUAA